rnacentral:tRNA from 2 species
GCGGGUAUAGUUUAGUGGUAAAAUAACAGAUAUCUACCUGUUCUAUAUCUAUCUAUAUAGAUAGAAUAGGUAGAU